GACGAACGCUGGCGGCGUGCCUAAUACAUGCAAGUCGAGCGAAUGGAUUAAGCGCUUGCUCUUAUGAAGUUAGCGGCGGACGGGUGAGUAACACGUGGGUAACCUGCCCAUAAGACUGGGAUAACUCCGGGAAACCGGGGCCAAUACCGGAUAACAUUUUGAACCGCAUGGUUCGAAAUUGAAAGGCGGCUUCGGCUGUCACUUAUGGAUGGACCCGCGUCGCAUUAGCUAGUUGGUGAGGUAACGGCUCACCAAGGCAACGAUGCGUAGCCGACCUGAGAGGGUGAUCGGCCACACUGGGACUGAGACACGGCCCAGACUCCUACGGGAGGCAGCAGUAGGGAAUCUUCCGCAAUGGACGAAAGUCUGACGGAGCAACGCCGCGUGAGUGAUGAAGGCUUUCGGGUCGUAAAACUCUGUUGUUAGGGAAGAACAAGUGCUAGUUGAAUAAGCUGGCACCUUGACGGUACCUAACCAGAAAGCCACGGCUAACUACGUGCCAGCCGCCGCAGUAA
rnacentral:rRNA from 1 species